AGCUUUUUGGAUCCGUGCAGAGAUUUCAUCAGACACCACUCCAUUAGGGCUGAACAGACUUCCAAGAUAAAUGAAGUU
rfam:Schistosoma mansoni, Puerto Rico, WGS project CABG01000000 data, contig: 0115